rnacentral:rRNA from 1 species
AAUCAACGCUGGCGGCGUGCCUCAGACAUGCAAGUCGAACGCGAAAGUCCCCUUCGGGGGGAUGAUUAGAGUGGCGCACGGGUGAGUAACACGUAGGUAAUCUACCUUCGAGUGGGGAAUAACUCAGGGAAACUUGAGCUAAUACCGCAUAAUGCAGCGGCACCACAUGGUGACAGUUGUUAAAGCAUUUAUGCGCUUGAAGAGGAGCCUGCGGCAGAUAGCUAGUUGGUAAGGUAAUGGCUUACCAAGGCUACGAUCUGUAACCGGCCUGAGAGGGCGGACGGUCACACUGACACUGAAUAACGGGUCAGACUCCUACGGGAGGCAGCAGUCGGGAAUUUUGGGCAAUGGGCGAAAGCCUGACCCAGCAACGCCGCGUGAAGGA